UACGGAGGGUGCAAGCGUUAUCCGGAUUCACUGGGUUUAAAGGGUGCGUAGGUGGGAAUGUAAGUCAGUGGUGAAAUCUCCGUGCUUAACAUGGAAACUGCCAUUGAUACUAUGUUUCUUGAAUUUUCUGGAGGUAAGCGGAAUAUGUCAUGUAGCGGUGAAAUGCUUAGAUAUGACAUAGAACACCAAUUGCGAAGGCAGCUUGCUACAGGGAUAUUGACACUGAUGCACGAAAGCGUGGGGAUCAAACAGG
rnacentral:rRNA from 1 species